UACGAAGGGGGCGAGCGUUGUUCGGAAUUACUGGGCGUAAAGGGCGCGUAGGCGGCCGAUCAAGUUAGAUGUGAAAGUCCUGGGCUUAACCUGGGGACUGCAUUUGAUACUGAUUGGCUUGAAUUCGGGAGAGGAUAGCGGAAUUCCCAGUGUAGAGGUGAAAUUCGUAGAUAUUGGGAAGAACACCGGUGGCGAAGGCGGCUAUCUGGACCGACAUUGACGCGUGAGGCGCGAAAGCGUGGGGAGCAAACAGG
rnacentral:rRNA from 1 species